rnacentral:rRNA from 3 species
UGCAGAAUCCCGUGAACCAUCGAGUCUUUGAACGCAAGUUGCGCCCGAGGUCACUAGAUCGAGGGCACGUCUGCCUGGGCGUCA